rnacentral:rRNA from 1 species
UUGACCUCGGAUCAGGUAGGGAUACCCGCUGACUA